rnacentral:lncRNA from 10 species
CACACACAAAAUACACCACACACACCACACGCAAAAUACACCACACACACUGCACACAAAGUACACCACACACAAAAUACACCACACACGCCACACACGAAAUACACCACAUGCCACACACACACCACACACCACACACAAAAUACACCACACACAAAAUAAACCACACACAAAAUACACCACACACCACAUGCAAAAUACACCACACACACCGCACACAAAGUACACCACACACAAAAUACACCACACACCCCACACACAAAAUACACCACACGCCACACACACAUCACACACAAAAUAUACACACGCCACAUCCCACACACACCACACACAAAAUGUGCCACACAGACACCACACACACAGUACACGCCACAGAAAAUAUACCAUGCAAACAUACCACACAGCACACAACACACCACAUACAAAAUACACUACAUAUAUACACACGCCACACAAAAAAUACACCACACACACACGCAACAUC